rnacentral:lncRNA from 1 species
AUGCUGGGUGACCCGCUGGGGAACGCGCGCCCCGGCCCCCUCCCGCCUCCCCUCCUUCCCUUCCCCCAUAGCAAAAUAAGUGUAUUUCAAAACAAAACAAAAAAAGACCAAAAAAAUAAGCCAUGGGACUUUCCGGGGCCGCGCGGGAAGGGGGGGGGCUUGGUCCGGCUGGGGGAGCGGGUGACGGGGGGCUGGCGCAGCUGCGCCCGGUCCUUCCUCUUCCUCGCGUCUCCCCCCACCGCGCCGGCACCGCCAGGUUUCCGUUCGCCACGGGGGGGGAGGAAAAGGGGGUUCGGAGCCGGCCUUCGCUCCGAGCUGGCCUUUCGGAGCCGCUCCCAGGGCGCCGCGGCGCCUUCGCAGCGCGGCUCCCGCUGCACUUUUGCCCUCGCGGGAGGCGCAGACAGCGAAACUUUCGGUCGCCGCGGGGUUUCGCUCCCGUUCCUAGUCAGCCCUCGGCCCCCACCUUUCCCACGCUGGGUGCCGGGCGCCGCGGGCCAACGCUUCUCCGCACGUCUCGAGGGGGGGGGAUGUGCAGAAACGCUCCCGAAGAAGGGGGAGAAAAGAAAACGCUGCUGCUCUUGGGGCCGCAGAAAGGCCGCUUGCGCCCGGCCGGGAUGGACGGAUGGAGCCACGAGUCCCGGCACAGCGGAGCUUUGGGGGUUUAGGAAGAGAAGCGGUGAAGCCUCGGUGCAAGUGCUGAACUUCCCGGCUUCGGGAGAGCCGUUGUUUCUCUCCGGGCGCGCUGGGGCGGCCGCCAGUGGGAGAAGACGGCCGUGCCGCCGGGAGCCGCCCCGCGAGCCGGCCGGAGCCCCGCGAAACUCGGCUCCCCUCCCGGCGCGGCUGCCUCCACCGUCGGGCACCGGCGAGGAAGUCCCCACCCAGCCGCGGGGGGGUCCGGCCCAUCGACCGCAACCGCGUCACCUGCCCCCGACCCGACGCCGAGGCCCGGCCGGCACCUGCCUCAACCGAACCAACGGUCCCGUGAACCGGCCGCGGCGCGCGGCGGCCCGGGGAGAGACGCUAACGGGGUCGGGCGACCCUUCCCCAUCCCCGAGUCCCGCACGAGCCUCGCGGGGGACCGAGACCUGGAGAGACGCAAGGCCGAGCGGCGAACGCGGCUCCUCCGGCCGCCGCUUCCCUGCCGCGAGCGAGGACCCGGAGCGCGGCCUCAAAAAUCUCAACCCCGGGGCCGAGGGCCCCGCCGGAGGGGUCGAAGCCGACGCAGUCGAAGCUCUUCUUGCAGCAUCAUCUGGGCCGAGCAGGUUUCCUGUUAGGCAACACCGCCGCCGCCAGCCGGGCCCCACGCAGGAAGCGGCGCCGAGCACCCUCUUCUCAGCGCCCGGAGCCACCCCGGAGCCCCGAAACGGCUUCGCGAGCCGCCGGCAGCACGAGGCGCCGCGCGGAGCCCGGCCGCCUUCAACAACCACCUCGCGGGGCAGAGAGGAGGCAAGGCCGCGAGGAAAGCGGGAUGCCGAAACGCGGGCGCCCGCGCUGCCGGAGCGUAACGGGCCUCCUUCCAUCAGCGGCAAGAGGCAACGGUGCAAAACUUCCCCUCCCCUCGCGGCAGCUGGACCGUCUCGGCCUGGCUUCGCCCCGAGCUUGACGGGUCCCACCCUGCCGGGGCAGGGUGCUCUGCCCUGCGCCCAUCCCAGCGGAUGUAUGAAAAUAUUCUGCGUUAAAACGGGGAGCGGGGUGGARCGGCGCCGCAGGGAGCGGGACGGGUCGGCCGCAGCCGUCUUCACGGCCCGCCAAGGCCCCCGGCGCGACACAAAAGAGGAAGAAGGCGACGGGGGCUGCGGGGAGGCAAGCGGGACCGCAGGCGCCCACGGCCUGCUCCGAAAUGGCUGCGCCGCGGCGAGCYGA